rnacentral:rRNA from 1 species
AUCCUACCCUGAACAUGCCCGAUCUCAUCUGAUCUCGGAAGCUAAGCAGAGUUGGGCCUGGUUAGUACUUGGAAGGGAGAGGCAGAGAUCAGGAGGAUC